AACUGCAACACUUUACUAGUUUAAUUUCAAAUCUGUUUGCUACAUAAUUCUCAUUACAUAGCAUUUCAAUUUUCCUCUAAAAUGUAUCUGAAAACCCAUAUUUUUAUUCUGGUAUCGAUCUUUAUGGUCAGCCUAAUCACGCCUUCUACUGGUUCUGAUGGUAAUCAAAAUUGUAUCAACUGUGUUGGUUGUACAAACUGUGCAAACUGCAUAAAUUGUACGAAUUGCCAUAAUUGUGCCAAUUGUAACGAUUGUACGAACUGUAAAGAUUGUAGGAACUGUGACGAUUGCAGAGACUGUUCAAGAUGUGCCGAUUGUACAAAAUGUGAAGGCUGUGACGAUACAGUAGGUAGUAAAAAAUGUAGAGAUUGUUCUGACUGUUCAAAUUGUCGAGAUUGUAUCAAUUGUUCAAGAUGUAGAAACUGUGAAAGUUGUGCCGAUUGUCAAAGAUGUGCCAACUGUGCCAAUUGUCUUAGAUGUUCAGAUUGUAGAGAUUGUACCCGAUGUACAGAUAGUCAAAGAUGUGCCGAUCGUACAGAUUGUAAAAAUUGUCAAUGUUGAAUUCCGGUAUCGAUACAAACUGUUUGGACCCUAAAAAGAUAUGGAAUUGACCGUUCAACAAAUGUGCAAGGCGAGGAAGUUGAAAAGAUUUACGUAUUGGCCGAUGUUAUGUUAAUCAAUGUCUGCUAGUCCUUUGACCCUUUCGAUUGAUAUUGGAUGAUCCAUAUUUUUAUUUACCGUAUGUUAAUCAACCAUCCCUUCCGAAAAACAGUUAGAUUUUACUUUCAUUUUUUAAACCGAAUCUUUGUUAUUCCACUUUCUAAAAAUGAUAUUUAACGCUAAUUAUAAUCAAAACCUUCAAUGUAUUUUUAUCACGCCAAUGAUAGAGAAAAAAAUAAAACGAUUCCUUAGUAACCGAC